GACGUAGGGUGCGAGCGUUGUCCGGAUUUAUUGGGCGUAAAGAGCUCGUAGGCGGCUUGUCGCGUCGACCGUGAAAACUUGGGGCUCAACUCCAAGCCUGCGGUCGAUACGGGCAGGCUAGAGUUCGGUAGGGGAGACUGGAAUUCCUGGUGUAGCGGUGAAAUGCGUAGAUAUCGGGAAGAACACCAGUGGCGAAGGCGGCGGCCUGGACAGAACCUGACGCUGAGGCACGAAAGCUGGGGGAGCGAACAGG
rnacentral:rRNA from 1 species